AUGUACUCCCUCUUUGAGAAAACAGAGAAGAGCGUCCACAAGUUCCUGCAAGAUAGGGAUGCCGCCGACACGAAGAACAAUCUCAUCUCAAGGUACAAGGAGCAAGACAUCCCAGUUGGCUGGAUGUCAGACGCAGGUUUAAUUGUCAAGGUCAAGUUGGCGUGCGUCAACCUCGCAAACCAGUACAUGACGCGGGUGGUCUCGGAGAUCGAUGGUUUAAGAGGCAUCAACAAAGAUCACACCAGGGAAACAGCACUCUUCAAACGUCUGAAAGAGCAGAACAGUGAAGUGCUGCUCCAUCAGGGUGUCAGGUUCGCGUUCCGGGUUCAUCAGUUUACAGGCGGGUUCACUGCUCAGAGCUUGGGUGCUUUUGAUGAGCUAAAACGACGGCAUAAUGAUGGAACAACUUAA
rnacentral:rRNA from 1 species